GCAAUGGGAGUUUCUCAAGGGUGGUCGGCUAGCCCCGUAUGAAAGGGGGUGAUGCCUUUGACAGUAUUCGAAUCGAUCAUGAUGAUGAUUUCAUUUUCUAGUCUGAUCAUUGCUGUCAUGACUUUUAACCAUAAAAAAUAGACCUCCCUUGAUCUGACAAUUGAGGGAGAGGUCUAUGUCUUUGACAGGCCGAUCCCCUAAGGGAACGACUAUUGCAAAUGACCGUGGGUGCGGCAACACCUGCG
rnacentral:sRNA from 1 species